GAUGAACGCUGGCGGCGUGCCUAAUACAUGCAAGUCGAGCGAACAGACGAGGAGCUUGCUCCUCUGACGUUAGCGGCGGACGGGUGAGUAACACGUGGAUAACCUACCUAUAAGACUGGGAUAACUUCGGGAAACCGGAGCUAAUACCGGAUAAUAUAUUGAACCGCAUGGUUCAAUAGUGAAAGACGGUUUUGCUGUCACUUAUAGAUGGAUCCGCGCCGCAUUAGCUAGUUGGUAAGGUAACGGCUUACCAAGGCAACGAUGCGUAGCCGAUCUGAGAGGGUGAUCGGCCACACUGGAACUGAGACACGGUCCAGACUCCUAUGGGAGGCAGCAGUAGGGAAUCUUCCGCAAUGGGCGAAAGCCUGACGGAGCAACGCCGCGUGAGUGAUGAAGGUCUUCGGAUCGUAAAACUCUGUUAUUAGGGAAGAACAAAUGUGUAAGUAACUAUGCACGUCUUGACGGUACCUAAUCAGAAAGCCACGGCUAACUACGUG
rnacentral:rRNA from 1 species